AUCCGUUGUCAGAUGUUGGGUUUCAUAUCCAUUAUCUUCGACCGUAGAUUUGAGCAACAUGGAUGUUAUAAUUGGAAAUCUUUUUGGACGAGAUUAUUAUGUGACCAAUCAGAAGGUGGAAGCAAUUAAUCGCAGUAGCUUUGAUGUAGUGUUUUGGUUACUCAUCGCUUUGGUUAUUCUCAUGAUUUUAGCCAUCUUAGCUCUAUGCUUAUAUUGUUGCUGCGUCAGAUCAACA